rnacentral:rRNA from 1 species
CUAACAAGGAUUCCCUCAGUAACGGCGAGUGAAGCGGGAAGAGCUCAAAUUUGAAAUCUCCGAUGCCCGCAUCGGCGAGUUGUAGUUGCGAGAAGCACUUUCUAGGCGGACUCGGCCCUGCCGAAGUUGCUUGGAACGGCACGUCGCAGAGGGUGACAACCCCGUCUGUGGCAGGGCCGGCCGCCGACGAUGCGCUUUCGAAGAGUCGGGUUGUUUGGGAAUGCAGCCCAAAAGGGGUGGUAAACUCCAUCUAAAGCUAAAUACUGGCGUGAGACCGAUAGCGAAGGAAACGAAUGGACUCAGCAAUGCGUCCCGGCGAGAUUCAGCCGGCGGGCGACCACGGUGCCGGGUCCGCGGAUCCGAACGGACCGCGGCUCGGGGCUCGCGAGCUCCCGCCGUCGCACUUCUCUCGGGCGCGCGUCAACGUCGGUUGGGACUGGGUGUUAAGGGUGCCGGGAAGGUAGGCGCGGAGGCCCUCUUGCGGGGGGGCUCUUCCGCUCUGUUAACGCAGCCCGGCUUCUCGCAUGACCCGGGCCCGACCGAGGCGGAUACAGGGCAUGCCUCUUGUGGCUAGGGGCCCGUCCUUCCGGCCGGCCGUCCGACGCGGUGGACUGCUUGCAGUGUUCGGCAAUGGCUACCGGUCGUUUGGGCGGUGUUU